rnacentral:rRNA from 1 species
GAUGAACGCUGGCGGCGUGCCUAAUACAUGCAAGUCGAGCGAGCGGACGAGAAGCUUUCUUCUCUGAUUUUAUCGGCGGACGGGUGAGUAACACGUGGAUAACCUACCUAUAAGACUGGGAUAACUUCGGGAAACCGUAGCUAAUACCGGAUAAUAUUUUGAACCGCAUGGUUCAAAAGUUAAAGACGGUCUUGCUGUCACUUAUAGAUGGAUCCGCGCUGCAUUAGCUAGUUGGUAAGGUAACGGCUUAACAAGGCAACGAUGCAUAGCCGACCUGAGAGGGAGAUCGGCCACACUGGCUCUGAGACACGGUCCAGACUCCUACGGGAGGACGCAGUAGAGAAUCUUCCGCGAUGGGCGAGAGCCUAACGGAGCAACGUCGCGUGAGUGCUGAAGGUCUUCGGCUCGUAGAACUAUGUUAUUAGGGAAGUAGAUAUGUGUAAGUACCUGUGCACAUCUUGACGGUACCUAAUCAGAAAGCCACGGCUAACUCCGUG